rfam:Stegodyphus mimosarum contig116959, whole genome shotgun sequence.
GCCUUCGUGGUGUAGCGGUCAGCACGCUCGACGCGUAACCGAGAGGUCCGUGGUUCGAUUCCCGGCGAAGGUG